rnacentral:misc_RNA from 1 species
GAUGAAGAACGUAGCGAAAUGCGAUACGUAAUGUGAAUUGCAAAUUCAGUGAAUCAUCGAGUCUUUGAACGCACAUUGCGCCCCCUGGUAUUCCGGGGGGCAUGCCUGUCCGAGCGUCAUUGCUGCCCUCAAGCACGGCUUGUGUGUUGGGCCCCGUCCUCCGAUCCCGGGGGACGGGCCCGAAAGGCAGCGGCGGCACCGCGUCCGGUCCUCGAGCGUAUGGGGCUUUGUCACCCGCUCUGUAGGGCCGGCCGGCGCUUGCCGAUCAACCCAAAUUUUUAUCCAGGUUGACCUCGGAUCAGGUAGGGAUACCCGCUGAACUUAAGCAUAUCAAUAAGCGGAGGA